rnacentral:rRNA from 1 species
UACGUAGGGUGCGAGCGUUGUCCGGAUUUAUUGGGCGUAAAGAGCUCGUAGGCGGCUUAGCAAGUCAGGUGUGAAAACUCCAGGCUCAACCUGGAGACGCCACUUGAUACUGCUAUGGCUUGAGUACGGUAGGGGAUCACGGAAUUCCUGGUGUAGCGGUGAAAUGCGCAGAUAUCAGGAGGAACACCGAUGGCGAAGGCAGUGAUCUGGGCCGAUACUGACGCUGAGGAGCGAAAGCGUGGGUAGCGAACAGGA